rnacentral:rRNA from 1 species
AGUCGAGCGAAAGAAGGGAGCUUGCUCCCGGAUGUUAGCGGCGGACGGGUGAGUAACACGUGGGUAACCUGCCUGUAAGACUGGGAUAACUCCGGGAAACCGGAGCUAAUACCGGAUAGUUCCUUGAACCGCAUGGUUCAAGGAUGAAAGACGGUUUCGGCUGUCACUUACAGAUGGACCCGCGGCGCAUUAGCUAGUUGGUGGGGUAAUGGCUCACCAAGGCGACGAUGCGUAGCCGACCUGAGAGGGUGAUCGGCCACACUGGGACUGAGACACGGCCCAGACUCCUACGGGAGGCAGCAGUAGGGAAUCUUCCGCAAUGGACGAAAGUCUGACGGAGCAACGCCGCGUGAGUGAUGAAGGUUUUCGGAUCGUAAAGCUCUGUUGUUAGGGAAGAACAAGUGCGAGAGUAACUGCUCGCACCUUGACGGUACCUAACCAGAAAGCCACGGCUAACUACGUGCCAGCAGCCGCGGUAAUACGUAGGUGGCAAGCGUUGUCCGGAAUUAUUGGGCGUAAAGGGCUCGCAGGCGGUUUCUUAAGUCUGAUGUGAAAGCCCCCGGCUCAACCGGGGAGGGUCAUUGGAAACUGGGAAACUUGAGUGC